UAUUGGGCAAUGGAGGCAACUCUGACCCAGCCAUGCCGCGUGAGUGAGAAGGUUUUCGAAUUGUAAAGCUCUUUCAGGUGUGAAGAUGAUGACGGUAACACCAGAAGAAGCCCCGGCAAACUUCGUGCCAGCAGCCGCGGUAAUACGAAGGGGGCGAGCGUUGUUCGGAAUUACUGGGCGUAAAGGGUGUGUAGGCGGUUUAGUAAGAUAGUGGUGAAAUGCCGGAGCUCAACUUCGGAAUUGCCAUUAUGACUAUUAAGCUAGAAUGAUGUAGAGGAUAGCGGAAUACCCAGUGUAGAGGUGAAAUUCGUAGAUAUUGGGUAGAACACCAGAGGCGAAGGCGGCUAUCUGGGCAUUUAUUGACGCUGAGGCACGAAAGCAUGGGGAUCAAACAGGA
rnacentral:rRNA from 1 species